rnacentral:lncRNA from 1 species
UGAUGUGCUUACAGACAGGAGCCUAGCAUGGUUGCCCUCUGAGAGAGUCAACAAGCAGAUGACUGAGAUAGAAGCAGAUACUUACACCCAUUCAAAAGUCUGAAAUCAGGGACCCCUGUGGUUGAAUUAAGGAAAGGCUAGAAGACAUUGAGGAGGAGGGCGACCGCAUAGGAAGACCUAUGGCAAACCUGGACUCCCGAGAUCUCUCAAACACUGAGCCACCAACUAGGCAGCAUACACUAGCUGGUCCGAGGCCCCCCCCCCCCAACACAUAUACAGCAGAAAAGCAGAAAACGGCCGGGUCUGAUUUGCCAUCUUUUAAAAAGCUUUAGCUUUUUUUUUUUCCUGACUUUGGAGAAUCUAUCCUUACAGAGAAGCCAUUAUUCAAAUGUUUCAAAUAAACAAUAGACUGUAAUACAUGUUGCCAAUAAGAUGUUUGCUAACAGGUUCACUAUUUCUAAUUUUUGAUUUUUGUACCCUCAGGUUGAAGGUAACUCAUUUAGAUCAAGAUUUAAGAAAUGCAAGCAACAGAUGUUCACAUUAUCAAGUAGGAGUAUCACAAUUUACUUAUUCAACCCUAGAUUUUCUUGUCUCACUUUAAAAUGCAUUUUUCUUUUUCUUUUAGGUGUUACAAUAUGUCCAAAGUCUUCUAAUUUCGACAACUUUCUUCAUUGUCACUAUUAAUAUGCACACGGUGGUCUGCAUCUGCUGCGGUAAAGAAGCCUCCCCUUCAGCCCUUGUCAGAGGGAUUCCCACUGCCUUCACCUCCUCUGCCUGUGAGGGAACCUCUCUUUCCCUCUCCAUAAGAAAUCAGAAAAAAGCAACUUAUUUCUAUGGGACAUUUAUACAUGUGUGCUGAGGAACAAAGGGACUUUACAGCUUGCACUUUACCAGUGUGCCUCUUUUCAAGCUGGAAGCUAUACCAUUAAUUACUUUACUCUCUACACAGUCAAUUAUGUAUCAGAUAUCCAGCAGUCUUUCUAAAUCCAUUACUUCCAAAAGACCUUUAUGUAUACAAUUUAUAUUUAUACUUCCUUCUCAAAAUGUAUUUGGGUGAUUAGCAACCUAAAUCUUGCUGUAUGGUGUUUUGACUUGUAAAUUCAUUAGACCAGAGUGAUUUUUAUAAUAAAAAUUUUUGAGUACAAU